ACGGGAGGCAGCAGUGGGGAAUAUUGGGCAAUGGGCGAAAGCCUGACCCAGCAACGCCGCGUGAAGGAAGAAGGCCUUCGGGUUGUAAACUUCUUUUAUCAGGGACGAAGAACGUGACGGUACCUGAUGAAUAAGCCACGGCUAACUACGUGCCAGCAGCCGCGGUAAUACGUAGGUGGCAAGCGUUAUCCGGAUUUACUGGGUGUAAAGGGCGCGUAGGCGGGGAUGCAAGUCAGGUGUGAAAUCUAUGGGCUUAACCCAUAAACUGCAUUUGAAACUGUAUCCCUUGAGUAUCGGAGAGGCAGGCGGAAUUCCUAGUGUAGCGGUGAAAUGCGUAGAUAUUAGGAGGAACACCAGUGGCGAAGGCGGCCUGCUGGACGACAACUGACGCUGAGGCGCGAAAGCGUGGGGAGCAAACAGGAUUAGAUACCCUGGUA
rnacentral:rRNA from 1 species